CAAGGCCAUAUAACCAGACCAGAUUAUAAUAACCUAAAAUGGAUAUGGAUUUAUUACAGUAUUAACAAUGGUAUUAUAUAAUAACCAUGUUGCAUGUAAUAUGUUUAUACCAUGACCUGUGAUUUGACCUUGUUGACAAGACUCAUGUCGCGUAGUACUGGGUAUCUAUCGACUACAUUGUGUGUUUCAACUAAGGGCUGUAUUGAUAAAUAGCUUAUUAAUAGUAAUGCAAUAUUGGUAUAGCAUAUGUUGGCUUAUCGUUAAUCCACGUCCAUCAAAUUGAUAAUCGACAAUGGAGAGACUUCAGAGUUUAUCAGACUUUAUAAACAAGGACAACCAUUGGCCGAUUCUAGCUGGUACCGGAACUGUUCUCAUUGGUGGAAUAACUGCUUAUAAACUUUUAACUAAACGAAAAAAGAAAAGUUGGCCCAAAGAUACAGUUGUAUUACAUUCACUUGACAAAGGCAUCUGGGAUAUGAGUAUAACACCAUUUGCUGUUAAACUAGAAACAUAUUUCCGAUUGGCUGAUAUUCCUUACAUUAACAACCCAACCCGUCAGCAAUCAUCUAAGAAGAAAAUACCAUGGAUUGAGUAUAAUGGCGAAGCUGUGGCUGAUUCUGAUUUUAUUAUAGAAUAUUUAAAUAAAAAGUUAGCUUUAGAUCUCAAUAUGCAUUUAACACAAACAGAAAGAGCUAUAGGUCGUGCAUUCUCUAAAAUGGUGGAAGACAAUACAUAUUGGACGAUGGUGAUGUCAAGGUGGUACCAUGAUAUACAUAAAGUUGACCCUCCGGGUCUUGGUUUGAUACCCAGGUGGCUUCUCUCUGUUUUUGCUCGAAAGGUAUAUAAACAGGGAUGGCAACAAGGUAUGGGUAGACACAGUCGUGAUGAAGUACUACAUAUCAUGGAAGAAGAUUUAAAGGCGGUUUCUCUGUUUUUAGAUAAAAAGAAGUAUUUGUUUGGAGAGAAACCAUGUGAAGUUGAUUGUGUUGUAUUUGGUCAAUUAUCACAGUUUUGUUGGCAUAUGCCUGGUUUAUACGGCGAGACAUUAAUAAAUGAGAAAUACCCUAAUCUAAAGGAAUAUUGCUAUCGAAUGAAGAAAGCGUUCUGGCCAGAACUGGGAACAAGUGCAAGAAGCAAACAGGAGAAAAAAUCAGCAUGAACUGAGAUUGUGAUACCCGAGAACAUUUUGUAGAUUUGUUAUCAGUGAAGGGCUUUUCCACUAAUAUUAUGUUUAUAUGUACAUUAGUUAAUUCGAAUUAAAAUUUAAAAAUAAAAUUUGUUGAAGAUAAAGUUAGAUAUAUCUCAAUCUAUGAGCAAAGUCAGACUUACAACUCAAAUGAAUCCAGAAUUUUUGACGUCAUAUCUCAAUCUGCGGAUAUCAUGUUUUUAAAAAGGAAUGCCAUAAAAUAAAGAAGAAUCAAUAGUGAUAUUAAUUUUACACACAUCAAAGACAUUGUUACAUUAUUUUGAAUUAACUAAUGUAAUACUUGUCGCGUACACAUGUACAGUGUGACUUGUCAUUCAUAAACCAUCAACUCACUAACUUACUUUCGGAGAGGGGGGGGAUGGUCGAAUGGAUAGCACGUGCGCGCUGUAUCAUAAAGCCUGUCAUUGAGUCAACUGGCGUGGUUUCGAAUCCCCGGUUGUACGUGACAAGGAGUAGGGUCGUCUGUCCAACCUCGUGGGUUUUCUCGCGAAUUAUUGAAAUAAAAUUAAACCAUAUGUUAGUCCCGAAAUGACCUAGUUUGUGUCGAGUGGACUUUGAACCCCAUUUCUCUCUCUCUCUGUCUCUCACUCUCGGAGAUAAAUGGACGCAUAUGAAGAGCGGUCGUUAUUCCGACAACGGACAGACCUAGGAAGAUUUUAGAUUUUAUCUAAUGCAUAAUAAAUGUAAAUGUAAUAUUACCUUAUAAGUUGUUGUACUAUGGGCCAGUAACAAUAAUAUCGUUAAAUCCAUCCAAAAGACGAAUUGCACGAAUUUCUGAUUGCAUAUAUUAUAUAGUCAUCAUAAUUUUUUGUUGAAUUAAUAAACUAUUACGUAUUUAAAACAUUAUAACAGGA